GACGAACGCUGGCGGCGUGCUUAACACAUGCAAGUCGAACGAAGAGCGAUGGAAGCUUGCUUCUAUCAAUCUUAGUGGCGAACGGGUGAGUAACGCGUAAUCAACCUGCCCUUCAGAGGGGGACAGCAGUUGGAAACGACUGCUAAUACCGCAUACGAUCUAAUCUCGGCAUCGAGGAAAGAUGAAAGGUGGCCUCUAUUUAUAAGCUAUCACUGAAGGAGGGGAUUGCGUCUGAUUAGCUAGUUGGAGGGGUAACGGCCCACCAAGGCGAUGAUCAGUAGCCGGUCUGAGAGGAUGAACGGCCACAUUGGGACUGAGACACGGCCCAGACUCCUACGGGAGGCAGCAGUGGGGAAUCUUCCGCAAUGGACGAAAGUCUGACGGAGCAACGCCGCGUGAGUGAUGACGGCCUUCGGGUUGUAAAGCUCUGUUAAUCGGGACGAAAGGCCUUCUUGCGAACAGUUAGAAGGAUUGACGGUACCGGAAUAGAAAGCCACGGCUAACUACGUG
rnacentral:rRNA from 1 species